rnacentral:rRNA from 1 species
CCCUAUGGGGUGCAGCAGGCAAAAGAUUUUUACACUCUAUUGUUGCCUUCACAAUUCCGGAAAGAGGAUCAAUGAUAACAAUGGUAUCCGUCAUAUAUACAUUGGCCCAUACCUCUCCAUUUAUAUAUUCCAGUUCGUUAAGCUGGUUUACAGGCCUUCCGUUAAGGGUAACCGUAACCGACGAACGAACCAUGAAGUUGGACGGGUCAAGCGUGUAAAGUUUAUCGGAGCCAUCGCUCAUUAUAAGAUCCUUGCCAUUGUUGGUGAGACCCCACCCUUCUCUGGGAUUAUUGAGCGUUCCAAGAAAUUUAAAGGUUUUGACAUCGUGAACCAGGACAACUUUUUCGAGCCAGGUUAAGAUAAACAGCGUCCCGGUAAGUACUGUGGCUCCUUCUCCAAAAUAGUGGCGGGAGAGC